rnacentral:rRNA from 1 species
UGGUGGAGUGAUUUGUCUGGUUAAUUCCGUUAACGAACGAGACCUCAGCCUACUAAAUAGGUGCACGAACAUUUUUGUUCGCGUCACCUUCUUAGAGGGACAUUCGGUUUCUAGCCGAAGGAAGUGUGAGGCAAUAACA